AACGAACGCUGGCGGCAUGCCUAACACAUGCAAGUCGAACGAGACCUUCGGGUCUAGUGGCGCACGGGUGCGUAACGCGUGGGAACCUGCCCUUAGGUUCGGAAUAACUCCCCGAAAGGGGUGCUAAUACCGGAUAAUGUCUUCGGACCAAAGAUUUAUCGCGUUUGGAUGGGCCCGCGUUGGAUUAGCUAGUUGGUAGGGUAAAAGCCUACCAAGGCGACGAUCCAUAGCUGGUCUGAGAGGAUGAUCAGCCACACUGAGACUGAGACACGGCCCAGACUCCUACGGGAGGCAGCAGUGGGGAAUAUUGGACAAUGGGCGAAAGCCUGAUCCAGCAAUGCCGCGUGAGUGAUGAAGGCCUUAGGGUUGUAAAGCUCUUUUACCCGGGAUGAUAAUGACAGUACCGGGAGAAUAAGCUCCGGCUAACUCCGUG
rnacentral:rRNA from 1 species